rnacentral:tRNA from 1 species
AGGGCCAUAGCUCAGUGGUAGAGUGCGUGCUUAGCAUGCACGAAGUCCUGGGUUCAAUCCUCAGUAUCUCCA